rnacentral:rRNA from 1 species
GGUGAGUAACACGUGGAUAACCUACCUAUAAGACUGGGAUAACUUCGGGAAACCGGAGCUAAUACCGGAUAAUAUUUUGAACCGCAUGGUUCAAAAGUGAAAGACGGUCUUGCUGUCACUUAUAGAUGGAUCCGCGCUGCAUUAGCUAGUUGGUAAGGUAACGGCUUACCAAGACAACGAUGCAUAGCCGACCUGAGAGGGUGAUCGGCCACACUGGAACUGAGACACGGUCCAG